rnacentral:tRNA from 1 species
UGGGAGGUCGUCCAAUGGUAAGACGCGAGCCUCUGGAGCUCGUUAUCUUGGUUCGAAUCCAAGCCUCCCAG